ensembl:lncRNA
CUUGCAAGUGGAUAUGCAUGUCUCCCGUCUCUGUCAUCUCAUUACAAUUUGUGAGUUUAGACGGUUUAGACAUAUGUAUUAUUUAUGUAUGUGUGAAUGAUGGUUAUCAUAUAACAGCAACAGGAUGUGGGUUUUUCUGCACCUUAGGUACAGUGCUAUCUUUUCUCGGACUUCACUUUCCAUUUUCUGUUGAGCAUUUGUCUAUGGUGAAGUAGAAAAACACAGUCAACACACCCUAAAAGACGACACAAGUUGAAACAAGGGGGGAUCUGUGCACCAUACAAAGAUCUUGUGUGUUGGACUACAGCAAAAAAACAUCAUCAAACUUCCCUCAGAAGAUGGCUAGUCUUUUGUUAAAGGAAUGUCUUGCAUUUCUGAAACGGAGUCAUGUUUUCAUCCAAUUUCCAUUGAGUGCUUUACUAUUUGGAUUAGAGGAGAUCGUUGAAAUCCACUUUACAUGCCCGUGCAAUGUUAAGAUGAAUUAUUAUUUAGUGCUGACAAUGUUCUUGGGACCUUUUUUGUUUAUUUUUGCUUUAAUGUUCUUGUUUUAUCGGCCUUUUAAACAUGGGUAUUUGCAUUGUGCUAAGAAAGCAAAUGGAGAAACUUUAAAUGAAAGUCAGCAGAGCUGUCCUAAAUCUCUUGGAUAUUGUCUGAUUGCACCUGUAAUGUGGGUCAUCAUCUUGUUUCUUGAUGGAGAUUACUUUGUUUGUUAUCGUACAGACUGGAAUGGACAUUAUGUUUUUGAUGAGAAGCUCAACAGGUCUUGGUGUAAACCUACUGAGGGGAUGCGAACUGAGAUAGAGCUACGCAGUUUGACUAACCAUAAUCUUCAUUAUUCUCGGUAUAUAGGUUACAUCUUGAUGAGUGUCCUCGGUAGUUUUCUGGUAACCACAGUGGGUCUUUAUGACUGCUGCAUAACUGGAAAAUGUGACUGGUGCCCAAGUUGUAUAUUAAUAACGUGUGGACGAACAGAUCCAGAGCAGGGGAAUCAGACACAGAGUGGUAAUGAAACAGUGAGUCCAAGCCCUGAGAAUAGCCCUCCGGAACAGAACGUGAUCCCAAUGUUGGCCUUAAGCUCUGACCAAUCCCAGAAGCCCAGCAUCCCUAGCAACGUCCCUGAUCCUGAGACAGAGAAUAGACAAGGUGAAGGACCAGCUGAACCAACAGGUGAAACAUCGACUGAACCAACAGGUGAAACACCGACUGAACCAACAGGUGAAACAUCGACUGAACCAACAGGUGAAACAUCGACUGAACCAGCAGAGACUGACCAAUUAAUCAAAAACAAAAAAAAAAGUCCAUAA